rnacentral:lncRNA from 1 species
AAAGCUGAAUCGUAGAGUGCAGAACUAAGGCUUCAACAGAAGUGCUCACAACGCCAAGGCAGAAUCGUAGAGUAAAUACGAUUCUCAACAAAUGAGCACUCCCAGAAUAUCCAAAGUAUGAAGCCUCUGGUCUGAGCUGCAAAGAUACAUCCCACCUGAAGGAAACCAGAGAGCACUCAACGAAUGGCAUACAAACUAACAGAAGAUCUAAGCGCCAACCCAAUCAACAUCCUGAUUGAGUUGUGAAGCCAUUCGAGAUGAAGUCUUCCACAAGUUGAUCAGAAGAAGACUUCAGUCAAAGUAACUGACUAAUGAAAGUCAGCUAGUACAGUAGCUGUCAAGUGAACAGAAGACAACGAUCUUAG